rnacentral:rRNA from 1 species
UGGGGAAUUUUGGACAAUGGGCGCAAGCCUGAUCCAGCAAUGCCGCGUGCAGGAUGAAGGCCUUCGGGUUGUAAACUGCUUUUGUACGGAACGAAACGGCUCUGUCUAAUACAUGGGGCUAAUGACGGUACCUGAAGAAUAAGCACCGGCUAACUACGUGCCAGCAGCCGCGGUAAUACGUAGGGUGCAAGCGUUAAUCGGAAUUACUGGGCGUAAAGCGUGCGCAGGCGGUUAUGCAAGACAGAUGUGAAAUCCCCGGGCUCGACCUGGGAACUGCAUUUGUGACUGCAUAGCUGGAGUGCGGCAGAGGGGGAUGGAAUUCCGCGUGUAGCAGUGAAAUGCGUAGAUAUGCGGAGGAACGCCGAUGGCGAAGGCAAUCCCCUGGGCCUGCACUGACACUCAUGCACGAAAGCGUGGGGAGCAAACA